AAGAGUGAGGGGAAAAAAAAAAGUUUUUUGCUCCAGGUUCAGGAGGUUGCAAGUGCUUUAGCUUAUUGUCAAAGCUGCAAGUUUUGCUUUAAAAAGAAAUUCCAACUUAAAGGAAAGAAAACAAUUUCCCAGUGAUGAUGUAGGUGUCGUAGUUGUCUUGUUGGCUGCCGGAAGUGGCUGGGUAGAGCUACUCUCAGAAAGCAGGUACAUGCGCAGGUUGUAUGAUUGCGUAUUUCUGGUAUGACAGUGCUUUAUGCCUAAACAAUUUAAAAAAAUGCAUCAGAGUCCAGUAUGUAAAACUGAUUUAAAAAUAGGACUCAAAUUGCAGAUCCUUCCUCAAGUAUAAUUUGCUAACUGUUGUGCUGAGUCCUGUCUUAAUCAUCAAAGCGCAUUCUAGCUGGCAGAUGGAACGAACUAGAAUGCAUCAAGAAUUGAGAGGACACGGUGCUUGACCAGUCACAGCACGUGCCAUAAGUCUAUAGCCAAAGCGUGUCAGUGGGUCUCCAUCAGGGGCAGUAAAUCUUUUUUUCAGAAGGGUGUUGGGAAAUGAAGUGGCACUCUUUGGGUUGUCAUACUUCUAGAACGUUCUAACAGCCAAAAGACUCCCACCCCUGCAGUGUCUAUGUUCCCCUGGCACAAUGAAUAAUUAACCCUUCUAGAAUGUCAGUUGACCCCGAUGUAGACUGACUGAUUUCAAGGGACAUGGCAAAUUACCGGUAGAAUGAAACGAGAAGGGCAAGUGGGCAAAUAGGAGACAAAUUCCAAAUUCAGGUCUGCGUGGUAAGGUACAAGGAAAGCUUUGGUAAGUUCCAAUAGCUCACAGUACCCCUUAUAUAUCAGUAAGCAACAUUGUGCUAAAGAGCUGUUUCCUGUUGUACAUAGAACAAGCUUGUAUACUGACAAAAUAUUUAUCAAGACUGUCAGGAUGAGAUUUAAAACAGAAGAGGAAUCUACCGGUAGUUUCCCAGUAGCUUUAAGUAUUUUUCUUCCCUCCUUUUCUCACAGUUUUAUUUUUUGUAAGAAAGAAGACUUGAGAGCAGUUUUGCUUUUUCACCCCAGUGCUUUCAAGUGCGCAUUGUACAUUUGUGACGUUCUGGUAUGUUUUACUUACAGUGAUAAUCGGAUUCAUUCACGAUGUUAGAAAUGGAAGCCAAGGAUUUUAAAAAUUUGCUCUCAGCAAUAGAAAAUUUGCUCCGAAUUAGUCUUCUUUGUAAAAAGCUUUCGAAAGUGUGGUAUUUUACUGUUUUCUGUAUUUCUGUUAACUGCAUGGCAGUCUUAUUUUUUUUUUUAUUAUAAAUACAGUUAUUACUGGUCAUGUGGUAUCAGUGAAUAUAGUCAAGUACUCAUUUUUGUGGGGGGAGGGCGGGGAGAGAGCUCUGCCCUUAGCAGAUGCUUUCCUGUUUUUUGAAAUAUCUGUAUUUCCAGUUUCUCAUAUUGCCAUCUAAACUGGUCUGCCUGGCUCAGUAUUCUUGGAAUGCCUGGUGACUUUGGCUUUGAGGAGGUAACCAUCUACGCUCUCACUGUCCUGGCAGGUACCUCUUGCCUUAGGUUGGUUUUGCGCGUUGGCUUGUUCACGGCUGCCUUCCGUCAGCUCCUCCACCUGACCUGGUCUCCCCGGCAUCCGCUUCCAUCCAUGAAAAUGGCUCGUCAAUUCCUCUCUUCUGCCUCUCUCUCUCUCUCUCUCAUUCACCAAUCUCAUCGAGUCCAUUUUGCUGUCUCACAGGCACCACCACCUAACUUGCUGCUUCUCUCGCGUCCCCUCUUGGAGUAGAUGGCACUGCUGUCAGCCACUCGGCUGGCCUUGGCCUGCCACAACAACUUGGUUAUCUGUGACUUCUGCCAACUCUACGGUGUGUUAUCCUGCUUACUUCCAAACUCUCGAGCUAACCUAACUUAGUCUCCUCCGUAGUCUCUCUCUCCUGUGGAUUCCUUGUCUGUACUGUAGCCACAUUGUUUCCCCGAAGACCCAUCUGGGCACUCCAUCACAUUCACCAUUUCUGUUAUUCUGUCAGGUACUAAUGCCAUUUCACCCAAGAAUCUUUCAUUUAUGCCUUCUGGCAGACCCAUCGAGUAGGCCAGGUGCCCUUCCUGUGGAUCCCGUGGACACCCUGCUCCUCCCCAACCACAUACUUGGGACAUUUAUCAUGAUUACUUGCUGAUCCCUGCUAGACUGUAAACUUUACAAGGACAGGGACCACACAAUCCUUGCUCAUUUGUAUCUCUGGUGCUUAGCUCAAUGCUUCACAUUUCACUACAUAUGUGAAUAAGUAAGUAUUCGUGCAGUAUUCUCUGAUCUUUGACAUUUGCGAUCCCAUUUGACCUGUAUAGUCUUCUUUGCUUAGAUUGUACAACGGGUGAUUGUGAUCCACAUGUUACAGGUUAGGAAGUGAAGCCCGGUUCUUUGUGACUAGAUAUCUUACUUUCUGUUCUCAUAGUGUAGUGUUGUGCUUGGCAUGUGACUCAAAUAUUUAAGAUGUCAGUGGUCAAUAAAUUGAGAUUGCAGUUUUCCAUAGUAAACAUUAGUAAAGUCAAGAUUCAAACCCAGGUGAACUUAGGUGAGUCCGUUGUGCAAUAUUAAGUUUGUACAUCCAUGAGGUUGUAGGUAUUUUAUUUUUCCAAAGGCAGAAUUCUAAAGAAACUAACAUAGAAAACAAAAAGAUAAGACCUAUUUAAUGAACCAAGACGGUACUUCAGUCAUUAAAAAGUUGCAUUCCGUAUCAGACAAACAUGAUGCUUAAAGAGUUAAUAUACACUUUUCCUUUUGUAGGCGUCCACCCUAGGAGAAAAUGGCAUGCUAUUUACUUCCUCCUUUCUUUACAGAUGGUUUCUGACUUCUGGGAUUUAAAAGGAUCAAAGAGUUGGACUUGGUCUGGGGCACAUGAAUUCAUGCAAGAUGUCUUAACAGUAGAUGUGAUAGUCCUGCGGCACUUUGAUCCUUGCUACAAAAAAAAAGUGUAGUCAGCCUUCAAGGAAUUACUUUUACCUUUUUGUAAUUGAAAAAUUGCCUCAUGCUACCCAGUAAGUACUUAAGUUGGUGAGUUUUCUACCACCUUUCAUUUCUUGCUGCAAGCUGACAGUUCUUUUCUCAGCUCAUCAUCUGCCAUACAUUUUGUCAAACGCAGUCAACUGGAACCACAGAGUUGGUUUAUUUGUUUUGUUUUCUAUAGUCAAGGGCAGAUGAUUUGGCAUAGAGUUUCUAUCAAGGGACAAUUUUGCCUCUCCAAAAUGUGAAUUUCCUACAAAAUUUUCCAUCUUCGAAUAGCAGUUUCCUAAAAUUGCCUCUCAGCUAACCAACUAAGCCAAUUUUAAGUAUUUUAGGUCUUUUUUUAAUAGCCAGUUUCUGUGUGCAGAUGGGCUGGUGUGCCAUGGGCCAGCGACUGUACACCCUUCGUUGGAACUUAGCAGAGAUGCCUUCCUCCACAUGGGUAAACUAGAGCUGGUGGGGACAGUCCGCCCUGCUGCUCGAUCUCUAAGGAAGACAUUUGGUUGGACUCUGGUCCAUUUAAUAAAUUCUGUCUGGGGCUGCUUUUGUUCUGAGUUGAGUCGUUUGAACAGAGCACGGCCCACAGAGACUGAAAUAACCGUUCUGUGAUGCUCUACAGAAAAAGCUUGCUAAAUCUUGCUUUAAAUUUUCCUUUUCUGCAACUUGGGUCAUCCAGGGUGUGGCUGUUCACUUUGAAAAGUGAGAAACUAAGGUCCUUUAAAGCACAUUGUUACGCUGAAGUUUAGGGAGUUUAAUCCUUCCACAAACCUGGGAAGAAAACUGAAAAUAUUUGGAAAACAAUCCUAGCGAACAUAUGGUUCUAUCUCUUCAGCUCAACUUUUUUUCUUUUUUACCACCCCCCAACAUGUUUUUCUUUUCAUGAGGUGAAAGUUAAGCGUACAAAUUUGAGGUGCACACCUUACUGGGUUUUUCUGUACCUUGCUGUCCCUGCCACACAUAGAUAACUAUUCUGACCCUCUAGUACCAUUGGGUAGUUUUGCCUGUUCAGAAACUUUAUGUAACUAGAACAUUCAUGCACUUUUUUUGCGUCUUUUGCUCGUUGUGUCAGAGUAAUAAAUGUUGUACGUAGCUGCAGUUCCUUUUUAACAUUUGUGUAUGACUCCAUUGUAUGAUUGUUACAACUUCUCCAUCCUGUUGUUGGUGGAAAUUUUGAUUAUUUCUAGUUUGUGGUCAUUAUGAAUAAAGUUGAUAUGAAAA